rnacentral:snRNA from 1 species
AAGCUCACUUCAGCAGCACAUAUACUAAAAUUGGAAUGAUACAGAGAAAAUUAGCAUGACCUCUGCUCAAAGAUGACACUGUAAUGUGUGAAGUGUUCCAUAUUAAA